GAAAGACUAAUCGAAUA
rnacentral:sRNA from 1 species